CUCUCUGGAGAUCACUCGUCUUGGAGACCUUUUGGUGAGCCCAGGUUAUGGACAACAUCCAGGGGAAAGAAUAUGCUCUUUUAAAUAGAUUCUCCAGUUUGGAACUUCAAGUGAUCUAGAAAGUCAUUGAAAAGACUUUGUGCUGCGCCCCUCAGAAUGAGAUGUUUCCUCUUUUCAUAUCUGUAAUGAUUCAGACCUUCCCCUUUGAAGGCAUGUCCCACUGGCUCUGAUUUUCCUUCAGUAGACAUUAAGGGCAGGAUCCAAUUAAGGAAGCUAAAGGAGUGGAGAGCUUUUUUUGCCGGAGGAAACUGUCUUUGAUGAAGUUUGUAUGGACAGUGACUAAAGCUGCAUCUUGCUCCUGAAAUAAAGGUUGGAUCUUUAGUCUCUGUGAAUAAUCUGCAUGUGACUUUUUGAUCAGGAGUUAUUUUAAAAUUUGUGGAAACUCUUCAAGCUGUAGUGCAAAUGCAUAAUCCUCUAUGCUGAGACAACUGAAACUACAUAAAGCAAGUCAGGAUUCACUGCCCACGUGAUACAUCUGUCUGGACAAUAAUCCAAGGAUUGAGGAAAGCCAUUGAUGCUCACCACCACUGUGGAACAUCAUAGCAUCUGCAGACUAUAGCUGGUACUCAUCAGAAGGAAAAAAAGAAGGAAGGACACAAAUUGUCUAAUAAGUUUACUACUAUGUGCAGGAGAACCAGUGCAACACAAAAAAAAACAGGUAUUUAUAGACAUUGAUCAGAUCCCCCUCUGAGCCUUCUCAUAUCUAGGAUGUUCAGUUCUGGCGCUCUCAACCUCUCCUCACAGAAGAGCUACACCAGACCCUUCAUUUUACUUGCUCUUUGCUGGAGUCUCAGUACCUCCAGGCCUCCUGGGGAGCCCAGUGUUUAACAGAGAAGGAUGACCACUCAUGCUGCUGGCAACCCUUGGCCUAAUACAGCUAAGAAUGCCAUUAACUUUUUUUCUUUCAGCCAUGAAUAUUGUUAUGCAUAUAAACUAUUUUUGAAAGAGUCUUUUUGGAAAAUGUCUUCAUGCUUCAGGACACAGGUCAAACUCUUAACAAAUGAGACUUAUAAACUUUUCUCCUCUACCAGUUAUGCUAGAUGACUUUAUUUCUGGGUUUUUGCACUUUAUGCUUUUCUGAUGUGGUGCUUCCAGUCCGUUUGUCAUUAGAACACCGUUAACUAUUCUGAUGGCCACAGUACAUCUUUGUGAUGAAAGAAAUGUCUAUAGAGGUUUAUCUGAGUUUCUGAAUAUCUGACAAGACUAGGGAUCAAUAUGAAUUUGUUAUCUUACUAUGAAGACCUCAAAACUGUGUGAAUGGGAAAGCCAUAGUACGAUGACUGAAUGCCAUUUACAAUAUUCUAUUUUCUAGUCUUUUUCUCUGGACAGAAACAAAACAAAAUCAAACCUAAUCAAAACCUAACGUAGUGAACUAGAAGCAAUCACUUGUCCACUGCAUGCAGCACACUAGCUAAAGAAAGCAAAUCAUGAUCUCUAAAUUAGUGUUGACCUAUGCCAGUUGGUCUAGAGUACACAGUGAAAGGGCACAAACAAAUAGCAGAUGUGAUGUGGAAGCAGGAAAAUUGUUGCUGUAUGAGCUCCAGUGUGGCACCAUGUGGUCACGGGAAUGUUGCUUUUGAACCAUCAUCAUUCCUUUAGGGCUAACAUAUAGUGAACAAUUUUGAUAUGUCUUUCAGCCACAGUGUAUGCUAUAAGAAAUAAAAAUGAUAUGUGGGGAGCAGUGAACCCUCCACUGUCUAGUGACUGUAUUAUUUCAGCUGGAUGACUGAGGCUAACACUGGUUAAAGAGACAUAAGUGUUCUUUUCAUUUUUGUUUCUUCAUGAAGGAGAGGAAAGCUUUAUUCAUUAACUGAUUUAGAGACUUGAGAUCAUGAAUGUCCAAAACCAAUCUCACCUAAUAAUGGCAUUGUCUUUUAGAAGAGAACUAUCCACAGAGCUUUCACGCAUGUUUAAAUGCAGACAGUGUGUAUGACAGUAACAUAUCUUGAGUAGCUCUUCCAAAUUCCAAUUCAGUGUGCAAGACAGUAUCUGUUGCCUCCUAGGAGGGCCUGUGUCUUCACACAAGUUUAAGGGCAUUUGGAAGGCGCUCAGAUAAUGCGAUGAUACUUAAAUAGAUAGACAUAGUGUAUUUCAGCCAGUAAAUGACAGUAGAGAUUUAAGUAUUCAGAAUGUAAUUAUCAGAGCUGGAAUUUGGCCAGGACAUUAACUGAGUUAAUGCUCUUAUUUUACUGAAGUACAGUGAGAUUUCUGAUUAUCUGAAGAGGCUUAUAUCUCUUAUGACAAAUGUCAUGUGUGGUAUUGCUGUACAGAGUUGUUUACAUGCAGGGCAACAUUUGUAUUGAUACUUCCUUGAAACCCAUGUGC
rnacentral:lncRNA from 1 species